CAUGAAACUCCUUUUCUGCCGUACCCUAAAAAUCUCGCCGUACCCGCUGAAAAAUCUCGCCGUACCCGCUAGGCUCUGCCGUACCCGCUAAAAAAUAUCGCCGUACCCUAAAAAUAUCGCCGUACCCGUCCCUAUCCGCCGUACAAAACAGCCGACACCGCUCGGUCACAGGGCAUACUCACACGAAAGUCGCAUCUAAAAACCCUCCACGGCAACGACACACGGUCUCAUAUAGCCUAUGCUCUGGGAAACAUUCCUGGCCACCUCUCUGCCCAGUGGCGUUGUACAAAUCGCGCCCAAUCCUGAGAACACUUCGGAAAACUGUGGUGAGAAGCGGUCUGUAGGGCCCGAGGAACCCGGAAGUGAGCUUCGCAUCAGUAUCAGCACGCUUCGAAGGGAACGACGUCGGUAGACAAGUAAGUAACGUUACGUAUUUCACAAUUCCAUUCAUUGUAUUGUACUGAUAUGGCGUGUCCCUUUUAUUCCUGCCCUCUUAAUUCACUCUCCGGCUAGGGAGUUCCUGCAACGUUUGGUGCUCAAUUCCCAUUGCAGGGAUUAAAUUUAACGUAUAAGUUAUAAGUUAUAACCCAUUUUAAGUGUGGAAGUGGAGGUUGGUGAUCAUGACAAUGACUCUGUAUAAGGAGAAGUGUUAAUACAAUGUAGCAACCCAUUAUAUUCAUUUUUGUUGAUUUUUCCAAGUCCUCAUUAUAGUAAGAGUUAAAGUCAUUUCACAUUUGGAAGCAAAUGGUGAGUAAAGCAGUGAUUAUAUAAAAUGAUUUAUUUACAGAUAUCUUAUUACUUGGCAUCUUAUACAAUGUAACCUUAUUGCUGCUUAUGUUUCACUCUCAGGGAUCCUCCAUCAAAGUUUAGCUCCACAGAGUCAGAGGAAUAUGAGUGGGAUGAUAUAGACAUCUGCAUGAGAUAUUCUGGAGAACUUCUGGAGAAAAUGAUGAAGGGGCAGGAUGUCCUCAACAACACAACAGAAUGGGAAGCCAGAUGUCACUCAAUAUGGUGUUUUUUGGUGCUAAUAGCGAAGAAGCAGGCUAUUAAUUAUCCUAGUAUGCAUACAUAGACUGUUGAUUUGUACAAAAGGUGCAACCGAAUAUGUAGUACACGUAUAUGCAGAACUAAAAAUAUAAGUAGUAAUUAAGACAUGUAACGUUAGACAAAUUUUCUCUAAUGUUCUCAAUACAAAUAUAUUGUACAAUACAAUUGUACAGAAGCAAAUGAAUAAAGAAAGCUCAUCUGUAAA